GACGAACGCUGGCGGCGUGCUUAACACAUGCAAGUCGAACGAGGUCCAACCGGUGGCAACACCGGAGAAGAUCUAGUGGCGAACGGGUGAGUAACACGUGAGGAACCUGCCCCGAAGUCUGGGAUAAGCCCUCGAAAGGGGGUCUAAUACCGGAUGUCCUCAUCAGGUCGCUUGGCCAGAUGAGGAAAGGUCUGCCGCUUCGGGAGGGCCUCGCGGCCUAUCAGCUCGUUGGUGAGGUAACGGCUCACCAAGGCGACGACGGGUAGCUGGUCUGAGAGGACGAUCAGCCACACUGGGACUGAGACACGGCCCAGACUCCUACGGGAGGCAGCAGUGGGGAAUCUU
rnacentral:rRNA from 1 species